rnacentral:lncRNA from 1 species
CAGGUCACUCGCAAAGUGCGGAUGCUUUGUAUCGAAAUCUUUCCACACUAUGAAGUCGGCCGGAUGGCUAAGUAUGUUCUCCUUCGAAAUCUGCUACUUAUGAUGCCAUCUCCUUUUUUUAGCUAUUUUUGUGGACAUAUACAAUCUUUGAAGUCUUGAAAUCAAUAAAAAAUACCUCACAAAUUUUUGAGGUAUCUUCUUUGCUUUUUUGUUAUCGAUUUUGUUUCUAAGCUCACCGUAUUUUGGAUAUUUAGUUAUCUGUUCGUUAUCCUUA